GUCUGCAAAGAGACGGAGACAGAACGGUGCUUAAUAGUGGUCGCACUGUUAUCUCAGACUUGAGGCAGUGAAGUCUGCAGUCAGCUGGAUCACUGAAUAGAAAGCAAACAACUGUCAGAGGAGCUGAUAAAAUGAUGAAACAGAAAGAGAAAGCCAUUUGACUUCAUUUGGAUGCCACGUACGCUAGUUCUAAUUACUCAGAUCGUAAGAAAGGGUGUUCAAAGAUUAAAAAAAAAAAAAAAAACGUAGUCUGCUGCAGCUGAAUCAUCUCCUCUAACAUAAGACAGGAAAGUGCUCUAUGGAGUCAGUCAGUAAAUUACUUCUAAAUGAAGCCUGUUUGCGUUGGUUGCAUUCCUUGCCAUCCAUAGUAAAGUAUCACUCUACAGCGAGUCAUCAAUGGCAUCCAACAUGUGUCCGUAGCAGUAAGAGUGGUCACAUAAACCCCCCUGAUCUGCCCUCAGGCGGCUCACAGCCUCAUCCUGCUCGACACGGGGCUCACCGUAACACCGCUGGAUGUGCUCCACCUCCCUGCCUCCCUCCUGGCCUGCUGGCUGGGGUAAAAUUGGCCUGCCACCCUGACAGAGACCCCUGCUUACUGCAGAGCAGGGGCAAGAGCAACUACCUGGUGUGUCCCUGCUGGGCUACUGUACAAACGUGAAUGUGUAACAGGAUGAACCAGCUCCCUAUGUAGAUAUGAAGGGAUCCUUAUUCUCAGGUGAGUAUACACGAAUGGCAUCAUUGUCAAAAUAGACAAUGGAAGUUGUUUGCAUGAAUAAACCAAUAUAAAAUGAAAUGAAACUGCACUAAACCAAUUAACAUUCAAAAUCAAAGCAGUAUUCUCUUUGAGUCCUUCCAGAACUGCACAUCUUAACUGAAACCACUUCUCUGAUUCAUCUACUCUUCCCUCCUACCAUCGGUCCUCUGAUGGUCUCGGCCGUCAUGAGAACCCCAGCCAGCACCAACAAAACCACCAACAGCGGCCAUUUCCGUGUUUCAUGCCAUUUCAUCAGAGAGAGAGACACUUGCUGAAGGGAGGCUUUAAGUUAAGUACGUAUAGCUUAAUGUGGCUCUGGGAAGGCCUCUCCCUUGGGGAUACAGACAGCAGCAGGCAUGCUAACGGCUUAGCCGCACGACUGAUCGGGAUACCGAGCCAGUGGCGGCCUACUCUCUCCGAUUUAUGAGAAGAUCGGAAUUACACCACCUAACAAAACUGUAUGUGUGGGGGUCUUGCAGAGACGGAUUCCUCUGCUGCACAUCACUUCAUCCCAUUGGAUUACGAAUGGACAGAUUUUGUUGCAAUACCUCCAGGACAUGAAGGAGGACCGGAGCUGCUGAGAGGAUGAUAACAUGUCGCAGGGGAUAACAGCGGAUGAGGGCUUAUCUUCAUCCGUAGGCUUUGGAGGCUGUCAUCUGACGUCGGCAGAGGUGAAGGAAAUGAGAGACUUGGAGGAGCAAACGAAAAAGGGAGAGGAGAGACUGUUGGAGGGAACAACAGGACGUGAGGACAGAAGGUGCACCAGGAAUUAUUUGGAUCCGCUGGGAAGGAAGGUCCUAGAGGGGGAUAUCCAGUGAGAUUUGGAGAGCAAGGAGUCAAAGAGACCAAAGAGGCAGCGCAUAGAGACCGUCCAAGCGCCUAGGAUAUAAUGUGGCUAAGAGAGAGGUGGAGUCAGAGAGGUCUUUGUGCUAGAUGUUUGGGAUGUUCUUUAUUCCCUGGCGCUGGCCCAAUCCUUAAAUCGGCCUGGGCGGGUUUGAACCCAUGGCUUUUGGAAAGAGCAGCAGGCUCCUGAGGCGACACAUGGCCAUAACAAAGAGCCAGGCAAAAUGCCCAGUAAGUCACAAAAGCUCUAUCCCUAAGGUCAUCUGUAGAAUCCAGCAUGUCCUGCCCCUCCUCCCCCCCAUCGCCUCUACCAAUCAGCAUGCCAUACCACAGCGCUAAUAACCUCCAUCAUACGGUUCUUAUAUUCAAGCCCCCUCGUUUUAUUCCUGUGCUCCAGCACGAAGGCUCAUAUGAGGUGGGCGACCCUCUCAACACACGCGUGUCCACCCCUUUGCUGUCAUUCUGAAAGCUGCACUAAUGUUUCUAUCCCCAGGGAAUCCAGUGCGCGCCACUCACCGGAUGUAGGACGUUGAAAAGGGAGUCUGUCUGUGAUGGUCACACUGUUCAGCCCCAUCGUCUUCAGCUAACCUUGGUUUGAGUCCAAUCAUCUGCCUGCUCCGGUUCAGCGGCCCAUGCAUUCUCUUUUUGUUCAUGUUAUAGUGUUCCCACGAUUUCAUUUUCAAAUGGUGUAUGUGAUUAGGUACAAUGGGAGCGUGUCAUAAAGAAACACUCAUACACCAUGUGAGCCCCUGAUGUCCCUCUGUCUCAGGCAGGGGGCAGUAAAUAUGGAGUUGACUCCCCUGGAGCUUCUUCACAAGGCCAGACACUGACCCUGGUAAGAGAACUUCUUGAGCAUGGGAAAGACACACAAGGAACAGCAAAUAAAUACUGAUAAGGUACCUCUUAUUUAGCCCAUUAAAAAGUUAUCUUAAGUUCAAAGUGGAAUUCUUCUGCUCAUGACUUUUGAUACCUCUACUUCAGAGAGGUAGUUAGUGAACUGGGGAAUCCAGCCGAGGAACAAUAUGUUCAAAGUCAAACAAAUCCAGUUUAUUCUUCUUGGCCUUCAGAACUUUCUGACCAACAUGACUCAUAAACGAUAGGAAGCCAACUGAAGCCAAGAAACAAAUUGGCUGUGUUUGAUGCCUAGCUACAUUUCCUAAAUGAGUACAGAAAAGGCAGGUUCUACGCCAUCUUUUCUGCUUUGUGCAUUUUUGUUGGAAGGUCUUUGUGAAGAGUCCGUACUUGUAUAUAAGUGCUGCUAUUAACUGGGAGGCUGUUCUGCCAAGUCAAACACCGGCGCUACUCAAGUACGCUAAAUAAUCAAAUCAUUUCACUGAAAAGUAAUGGGUUUGUCCCAGAAGAAUGGAACCCUGGUCUGUCUCUUUCUCUGAGCUGGGUCACACAACAAAUGUUCCUAAGAGGCUUCUGACUUUAUGUUGCUGGAGUCCUCGGAGGGCAGAAAGAACAUCAGAGACUAUUUAACCAACCAGUUGAACCUCUUCCAUUCCCCCUCACUGCCACAGACGUGUUCUUGUCUUUUAUAGGGGGGCGUUGACGGGGUGAUAGCAGGACAGCAGUAGAUGACACAUAGAGGUGGUGUACAUCAUCUAAAAGCUGGGAACUUGUAGAGUAAUUCCAGCAGUGUGUAUUUAAUAUACAUCUGUAUUGUGUGUAUCUGUCAUAAACCUAUUGAAAUGUU